rnacentral:rRNA from 1 species
GCUUAGCCGUAAACUURAAUACUUAAAYUAACAAAAUUAUUUGCCAGAGAACUACUAGCUACAGCUUAAAACUCAAAGGACUUGGCGGUACUUUAUAUCCAUCUAGAGGAGCCUGUUCUAUAAUCGAUAAACCCCGCUCUACCUCACCAUCUCUUGCUAAUUCAGCCUAUAUACCGCCAUCUUCAGCAAACCCUAAAAAGGAGAUAUAGUAAGCACAAGAAUAUCCAUAAAAACGUUAGGUCAAGGUGUAGCCAAUGAGGUGGGAAGUAAUGGGCUACAUUUUCUUUUAAAAGAACAUUACGAUAUCCUUUAUGAAACUAAAGGACUAAGGAGGAUUUAGUAGUAAAUUAAGAAUAGAGAGCUUAAUUGAAUAGAGCAAUGAAGUACGC